CGCAAAGACCGUUUAUUAUUUACAUUUUUCAUUAAUAUUUUUUGUGAAAUUGUGGUAAUAGUUAUAUCAGAAAAUCUGUAUUGAAUAGAUGACCAAUGCAACACAAAUAACAGGGUUGCAAUCACUUACAACAUGAUUAACAACACUAACAACAAGAAGUUUUGAGCGGAACGUUAAAUUAAACUGAUAUAUCUACAUAUAACAACAUAAGGGUCCUGUAACGUUCCUCGAACAACUGAAGAACAUUAGAAUCAUUAUUUGGAAGACUGAACCUGGUCGAAAGACCCUCUCGGUCAAAACAAAGAUUUGGACCAUUAUAGGCCCCUCCAACCUUCUAGCCUCACAAAAAUUGUGGAGGCAAGCAAAAGCGUCAUUACAAGUAAAACUCCUCACUUGACGAAUAUUUUCGUUGUUCCAAGGUAUAAAGUAUUUAACUUCAUCUAGAACUCUAAGAAUAUUUAUUUGGCAAUCUGUAAUAGAUAAAUAGAUAUAUGAAAAUGAAUACAGAAUACCUAAUUUAUUGAAAUUUUGAAAAACAAAUCAAGAAGUGGCGGAUUUUAUUCCCAGAAGAUAAGCCGGAUGUACGAAAGCAUUCAGAGCGUAGCAGCCUACAAAUACUUUUUAAUUGGCCUUUUACCUAGGUUACUCUAUAAAAUAUUUGGAACAAAAUAUUCCAGGAAAGUAUUUCACAAAAGGGUUAGCACAGAUGAAUUGAUGUAUAUGCAGAUAAAGGAAUGAUGACCAACCUGUAAUAAAAUACUGCUAUGGGGAUUGUGAAACCGUGGAUCCAUAUGGAUCACCAUAGUAGACCAUUGUUCCUGGCCUUUAUUUCUACAGCGUUUGUACGGGUAAUAAGAGAUGGAAUGAAUAUUUUCUCAAAAUGUAAAUACAUAGUUUUGUGUAAUUUAGUUGUAUUAAAUAUUCUUGAAAAGAUGCACCGUUUCAUUGAAAAGGUGUAUUCACUAUAGGUAUAUAUAACACAGGAACACGAUAGUAGAAGUAAUAAACUUUAUUGAAACAAUGUUUCCAAGCGCUAACAACUCAGGUCUUCCUGCCCAGGAACAGUAUAAAAAUAUAAUCGAUACAAAAUAGAACUAGUAAGAAAAACAGCAUAAAUAUAAUGAGUAUAAAUAAAAAACUGAAAUCAUUAACUCAUCGAGUUCUCUUAAUGCCAACAUUCGAAUUCAUUGAAAUUGAUGAAAAAAUCGAAGACAAACAUCCAAGGUGGGCGCUAAAGUAAACAGGAGCCAGAAAGGUAAACUAGUAUAAGUCAGCUUUCUUAAUAAUAGCAUUUUUGUUGUCUCCUCGUCAAGUAAUUUAAGUGAAGCUUCUUAUGCUAAAAUACAGAAAUUUCUUCCGGAAUAGGAAAAAAACUUAACACUGUUUCCUCAGCCUCCACAUCCAACAACACAACGAGAAAAUGGCAUAAUUAUUCACUUCCUGCUAAAAUACUGUGUGACUUUCCCAAGAUAUUGAAUACUUUCAUUACCAUUACUGGCAUUAAUAACGCACAUUUAACACU